CAAGGUAAAAUUCAAGGACAACCAAAAGGCUAAGCUUUGGGAUGCCCCGGAAGGCAUCCCCUCUUUCGUCUUCAUCUAUCGGAGGAUGAUGGUAGGGGGAAGAGGAGGAAGAUAGACUAUACUUUCGACGACCCGUACGAUCCAGCGUAUGGUGACGACGAAGAGUAUGAGUAUGUCUCUGGGGAAGAUGUGGAUGUGGACCGCGGCAACUUCGCCUCCUUCAAAGAGAAGGAAGAGGAGAAGAUCAGGAUCAAGGGCGUGGAUUACUACUACAAGAGCAAGACCAAAACUUGGCGUUGCCCCUACUGCACCACCAAGCCAAAGCCAAAGUCCGGCCGCUUCGUUCACCUUCUAGCUCAUGCAGAAGAUGUGGCCAUCCAUGGCGAGGACUACAAGAUCAUGGGGCAGCAUGCUGCCCUAGCCAAAGUCCCGUCUCCCCUUCCCUGAUGUUAUGAUGUUAUGAUGUGUUUUAAGUACUUUAGGUUGUUUGCUGAACUAUGUGGGUGAACUAUGUUUGUGAACAGGAUGUGGGUUACCUUUUGGUGGUUCGAUGAAUUUUA